UACAGAGGGCUCAAGCGUUGUUCGGAUUCAUUGGGCGUAAAGGGUGCGUAGGCGGCGCGUUAAGUCAGGUGUGAAAUUUCGGAGCUUAACUCCGAAACUGCAUUUGAUACUGGCGUGCUUGAGGACUGGAGAGGAGACUGGAAUUCAUGGUGUAGCGGUGAAAUGCGUAGAGAUCAGGAGGAAGACCAGUGGCGAAGGCGGGUCUCUGGACAGUUCCUGACGCUGAGGCACGAAGGCCAGGGGAGCAAACGGG
rnacentral:rRNA from 1 species